rnacentral:rRNA from 1 species
AUUGAACGCUGGCGGCAGGCCUAACACAUGCAAGUCGAGCGGAUGAUGGGAGCUUGCUCCUUGAUUCAGCGGCGGACGGGUGAGUAAUGCCUAGGAAUCUGCCUGGUCGUGGGGGACAACGUUUCGAAAGGAACGCUAAUACCGCAUACGUCCUACGGGAGAAAGCAGGGGACCUUCGGGCCUUGCGCUAUCAGAUGAGCCUAGGUCGGAUUAGCUUGUUGGUGAGGUAAGGGCUCACCAAGGCGACGAUCCGUAACUGGGCUGAGAGGAUGAUCAGUCACACUGGAACUGAGACACGGUCCAGACUCCUACGGGAGGCAGCAGUGGGGAAUAUUGGACAAUGGGCGAAAGCCUGAUCCAGCCAUGCCGCGUGUGUGAAGAAGGUCUUCGGAUUGUAAAGCACUUUAAGUUGGGAGGAAGGGUUGUAGAUUAAUACUCUGCAAUUUUGACGUUACCGACAGAAUAAGCACCGGCUAACUCUGUGCCAGCCGCCGCGGUAACAC